UCCUCUGCUCACUCAUUACAACACUGUAGGUGGGGUUCUCACUGAGAUCACGGUGAAUAAUCCAGAUGAAGGCACGUCUGUGCCAAGCAGAGACUUGCUGGCCCAAGUAUCUACAACAAUUUAGCCCCGAAGUUGAAAAAGAAUCUAUUAUCAGUUCUAACUUGAAGACUCUUUUAGACUGCUUUGGAGCUUACCAAGCACUGUAGACCAGCUGUCCAACAAGCCCCAAAGGAUCUGCCUUGCCUGUUUCUCCUGGGAUUACAAGUCUGUGCCACUUGGCUUUUCCUUUAAAAAAAAAAUGGAUUCUAGCAAUUGAACUCAUGGCCUUGUCCUGGCAAAGCACAUACUUUAUCAACUAAAUCAUCUCCUCGGCCUUGUAAGACCUUUCACCCAAUGGUUUUUAUACAGUCCCAGCUAUUUUCAGCACAGAAAUGAAUCACCAGGAUACCAGCUCUGCUACUCAGCAAGCAAUUUCCCAAGUAAAUAGAUAUGCUGACCUGACAAUAUUCACUCUACAUCUCAAUCUACCAGGUCAACCACUUUAGCAACUUCAGUUCUAGUUUUACCAUUGCCUAUGAUCCUGGAACCCACAACAAGACUAUUGUACUCUACUGCAGACAAGCUGUAGGCUCCAAUGUCAGACUUAGGAACAUCAGAGUAGAACACCAAGAAGGGUUAAUCUGCAACUAUGACGAUGGCUACGAGUACAUGGAAGCCCAUUUCUGUUAAGAAAACAUGUAAAGCAAGCCACAGAGAAAUUUCCCCCAGGAACAAGAAGAAACAUCUCUUAUUGAACUGCUCACGAAAGAAGCACAGAGAAGAGUCUGGUGCCUUGUGAUCUGCCCUGCCCACCUGAGGACCACCACCAGGAAAGUGUGGAGACCUCUGAGAAGCUGGCCAUUUCUAGCAUGGAUUGUGCCUUUCUGAGCCUAUGGCCAGGUAUGGGGGGGGAUGGGUAAAUAACUUCCACUAGCCUUAUCUUUGCCAUCAAAAGCAGCCUGUUCUUUCCUCCUACCUCAGCAGAGAAGCUGUUUCCAGCUUGUCCUGAGUCCAGACCUGCUUUCUAAGCAAUCCCUGCUUGGCAAGGAAGUUUAGCUCAUGCUAGAAUCAUUUGUUUACUUUGUAAGCUGGUCAACCUAUUUGUCUAAACAGACAUCAGUGGACUAUUAACUCCUGUUAAGACCUUAGUGGGAGUUCCUGGGAGUAAAAACAAUUUGUCUAAGUCUA